GCGACCCGCCCCUCCCUAGGCCCGAGGACGCGCCCGCAGCAGGCGAACGGCUUCGGGUGCCAGGAGCUCAGCAAGCUGGGGACCCCCUGGGCGAGGAGUACAAAGGACCCCAGGCGAAGCCGGCGCCGGGAGGCAGAGCUGACUCCCGCGGGACUCUACCGGCCUGCGAGCGUUCGUCACGUGCUCGGUGGCUGAGGGGCCGUCCCGGCCGGGCGGGCUUCACCGCGUGGGCGCGGCAGUCGCCACUCACCGAGGUUGACGACCUUGAGCGCCGUGAAGAAGCGGUUCUGCCGGGCCAGGUCCUGCCAGGGAGCCUUGGAGCAGUGGCGUGGGUUCUCACUAUGUUGCUUAAGCUGGUCCAGAACUCAAGCCAGUCUCUCACUUCAGCCUCUUGAGUCGUUGGGAUUACAGAAGCCACCAUGUCCAACUGAAAGAGAUCAAGGGGAUUCUUGUGAGCAAGGUUCUUCCUGGUACCUGAUUGGGCAACUGGAUGAAGAAGAGGGAAAGGAAAAAGCUGCCUGAGCCCCCCAAGACAUCAGGUGCCCUCCUUAUGGUGACUGCAGAGAUCCUGGGAAGAGUCAAAGGUUAUUCAAAUCCAGACUGGACCCAAAGGGGUUCACAGAGAGGCAGGAGACCGCUUGGAAAAGCACCUAACAGGAAGCCAGAGUAGGUCCUCUGAAGGUGUUUGUUCAAUGAACUUGUCAUCCUCCUCAACUUAAAGCCUUUAGCUUUUCCAAUUUGGAGGCACAAAUAAGUGAGAACUUGGGGAUCCACUGAGGUCUGAGGCACGGUGGUACCAGAGGAGAUGAAGGGGCUUUCAGCAUGAAGCUGGUCCCCUGUCGACAGCACGCUGAUUUUCCCGUUGGGCUCUAUCAGCAUGUCCACUGUGAGACCAUGCUUGUGAAAAUACCAGGACGGUAAAUUAGUGAAUUCCAAAGUCAGGAUUUUUGUUGGAUCUGGCACAGUCACAGGAAAGUCUGAGUUUUCUCAAGGGCAUCCCUGUCUCACCGAGGGGCACCAAGGACAGACGACCAGAAGCAAAUGGCGCAGUCACCGUCAGAGGAGAGUAAAACUCAUUCUGAAACGGUUCCAAAUGCCCAUGCCUGCUCUGUGGUUUUCAGCAAAGCGGACCUUUCCAAAAGACCUCCAACAGGGACUUCCUGGAUGUGAGAACACUAACCAAUUCUCGUUCCUCUCAUCUUUUGCUUUAUUCCUUCCUUCCAUGCUGUUAUUGCGAAAAACUGGUAGUUAAAUUCAAUUGAUUCAAAAUAUUCGGGAUCCAUAUGGCCGCCAACCCUGGAGCUGAAGCGGCGAUAGCGCCUCACUGCUGUUUUCAAGCAUUUGCCUCUCCUCCAGUCCCCAGAUGGUGGGAGUAACAUUUAAACCUCCUUUUCUCUGCCUUGUACAAUAGACCUUGGCACCAUUUCAACUGUUUACUCCGGUAAUUAACAGCUCUGAUACCACAACAAUUACAACUCCUACACUCUCACCACAAUAAUGCUAUGAAUUAGUGAGAGCUAAUGGCUGGAAGGUAGAGUGUUUCCAGACUGUGGGAUCUGUGCAUUUUUAGAAUAAAAUAAAAGGUACAAACAGCACGCUUGCAGUAGACAAUGAUUACCUAGUAAUUAGUUUACACAAAGCUUCCUAUUUAAUGGCAAAACGCUGUAAUUAACGUGUGACAGAAAAUCAAAGGGUACUUUGUAAGCAUAUUAAAAAUUAACACUGCAGGCCCAUAGCUUUAUGUACUGAUUAGAAGCAUAUUAAAUCAAUAGGACACACAAACCAACAGCUUGGGUAGCUGAUUAUUAUAGGUCCUCAGAAGGGGUACCCUGGCUUUCAUUUCACUUGGGGAGGCAAUUUUCCUUCUCCUGUCAUCUUCCUCAGGCACAGAGAAACACCUCAAACUCAACCCUGGCAGCUUCAUGAAAAUAACCACUGAACUGGAAGAAAACAUUCUAAGUCAUUCUCAGAGAUGAAGACAAAUAUGUAAAUGAUUAAGACUUUCCAAUGAUUGUGGUGACGUGCUGCUACACUAAUUAGAAAAUACACCAACUGGAACCAGAAAAUAAAGCCACUGGGUUGCAAUCUUCCGGUCAGAAUAAUCUCUACUUUGUCAAGCCUCUUUAUUCAACUCAUAGAAAGUUCAAAUAAAUGGAACUGUUUUAUAUUUCUAAAUGAUAAGAAAGCAGGCUGCUAUGAAGACUUAUUCUUUCCAAGGCACUGUCUGGGUAAAGCAUAGGCUGGGAACAACUGGAUCAACCAACAUUCUGUAUCUUCAACAGCCACAACCCCAUAUAAUGAUGGCUGAUGGACAUAGACAGCAAUAUCCUGGAAGCCUACCAGAGCCUAAAGAACCUUCUGAAUCACCAAAGAAAGAUUAAGUUGUAUGUACUUGUUCAAUGUUACCUGUAUUUUGUUAUAAUACAAUUUUAUGGUAAUAAUAACAACAAUAAUAAUAGGUAGCAUUUCUUAAAGUCUUAUUAUGUGCUAAGCACACUGCUAGCCAAUUCAUAGAAUUAUCUCAUUUACUUGUCACCACUUCCCCAUGAGACAGGUACUAAUCUCUCUUUACAGAUAGAGAAAGGGAGACUUGGAGAGCUGAAGUAAUUUGCCUAUAGUUAUCCCCCAGGGAGCAUGGGAGUCUAACCUAGGUGUCCCUGGCUAUGGAACCCCAGGAAGCCAAACUACCUCUUAGUUACCCUGAAUGACUAGCCUGUUCCAACACUCAUUCUGCUUAAAAGGCAGUUUACUAUGUCAACCUGGAAUAGGAGACUAAAAAAAUUAAAACAAAAACAAAAUAUUUGGUUGCUUAUUUUUUUAAAAAACAGGGUGUUUCUGCUUUUAGAGAUAGGAGUCUUGUUCUGUCACCCAGGCUGGAGAGUGGUGGUGCAGUCAUGACUCAUUGCAGCCUCAAACUCCUGGGCUCGAGUGAUCCUCUUUCUUCAGGCUCCUAAGUAGCUGGAACUACAGGCACACACCUAAUUUUUAAAUUUUUUGUAGAGAUAGGGUCUCACUAUAUUGCCCAGGCUGGUCUUGAACUCCUGGCCUCAAGCCAACUCCCACCUCAGCCUUCCAAAGUGUUGGGAUUACAAAAUAUUACAGGAGUGAUCGACUGCACUGGGCUAAAAACAAGGGUUUUAAAUGCUUACCAUAUUUUUAAUGCUACAUCUGAUUGUGAAGGUGGGCUACUCAAAGCUUUUUGGGAAUUUACAGGCUCACUAAAAUGAUCACGAUAGUGUAUUAAAUUGAGAAAGGCAUUGAAAAUCUGUCAUUCCCAUGAACAACCAAAGGGUGAUGUCUAAAAUUCUCUCUCAUCACCCAUGCACAUAACCAGGUAUAUGAGGCAGUUGGGUUGCAAGAGCUGAAUCCUAGAAACUCCUAGGCAGGGCUCCUCCUCUCCAGCUCUGAGGUGUGUGUAUUGAUGGCCCCCUACACCUCCCAGUUUGCUGCCUUGUGGGAAAAGGAGACCAGCUCUUCUGUUAUCUAGGAAAGGGAAGAAAUUUGAGAGCAGUGGCCUCUGUGUUCCAGGAAUAUUUGCGUUUCCCACAAAUCUCUGGAAAGCAGAAAGCUUGCCACAAGGGCAGCACACGGUAUGAGUCACAAAGGCAAGGACCUGAGGGAGAACACUUCCCAGGACUUUCAAAUAAGGUCUUUCCUAAAUGUACUUGGCUCAGUGUGGCAAAAGCACUGGGCUAGCAGCAGUCAGAUGUGGGUUCAAAGCAAGGCACAAUCAUUUAUUAGCUAUAAAUUUGGGCAAGUCACUUCUUGAGAAUAAGUUUCUUCAUCUGUAAACAGAAGUAAUACCUUCCUUAUAUCUUAAAUUGGUGUGGAAGUAAAUGAGUAAAAACCUCAGGGUUUUUCUGAGUUUAAAUGAGACAAUUCAUGUAACGUGCUUAGCACAAUACCUGGUACCCAGUAGGUACUCUGCAGUAUUUAUUGAUGAUGAUGAUGAUGAUGAUGAUGAUGAUGAUGAUGACAAAGAAAUACAAGGAAAUGUCAACACCUUAACAGUGCAUUCAUAGAUCUACAAAAUGCUUAAUCUCAGUGUUCUGGCAACCACUAAAUACAUAAAGAUAAUCUAAGACAUCAAGAUUUCAACAUAUAAAAAUAAAUAUAAAAACAAGUGAACAAUAAUCAUUUAUAUGUAGUUUCAUGACUGGAAAAAAUAAUAACCUAGAUUUUUUCUUAACCUAGAAAAUCUAGAUUAAAAAAUAAAGAUCUUGCAUUUUUGAUAUAAAACACAAAUAAUAAGGACAUGAAAAAAGAAUAUCCCUUGCUAGUAAUCAAAUAAUAGCAAUGAGAAGCUGGAUUCUUAUAUCUAAAAUAAAAGUGCAAAUAGUUCAUAAUAUCCAUUGGUGGUAAGGUUGUGGUAAAACUAGUAUUCUUAUUCUCUGCCAGUUGCUUUGGAAAUUGGUACUAUCUUUUUAGGAAUAUGGCAAUAUGUAACAAAAGCCAUAAAAUAUUCUACUCCUGGGUCUUUCUCCUCGGGAAGUAACUCAACAGAAGCAAAAAGAGGUGUAUACAAAAACCAAAUAUAAAAACAAACAAAUCUUUCCUCCCUCUUUCCUCCCACUGCCAAAAAAUGAAAGCUGGGAAUAGCCUAAAUUUCCAACUUAGUUGAAUUGUUCAAUAUAUUAGAGUUCAUCAAUAUGAGAGAAUAUUAUGCAUCUAAUAAUUGUGACGACUAUGUAUAAACAUGGAAAAUAUUUAAGAUCUGAUGUUUAACUAGCAUAUACACUAUUAUUGUAGCUAUGAGAAAGAAAUACUGCAUAUUUAGAAAUUAAUAUACAAAAAUGAAAACAACUAUGUUUGGGGACAGUGAUUAUGUACUUUUAAAUUUUUUUUAAUCUUGUUAUCUUUAAACUUUUCUAAAAAUGAUGUGAUUACAAGCAAUGGCUCUUUGGGAUCACCUAAUAAAUACCUACUAAAUUCUAGACGGGACAACGAGCUCUGCCAUCCUGCAAUGGCUCCUGUGACCUAGUUCCAGGGCCAUUCUGAAUGGACAGAGGUCUUCACAAUGGAGGUGGAGAUGCAGGGAGCUCUAUGGCAUGAAAUGGUUAAUGAUUCUCUUUUGUAAUUGUGUUUUCUGUUUGCUGCCUUAGUUCUAAAAGGAGGCAAAACAACUGUGGUUUAUUCUACCUUUUCCAGGCAUAGUUCUUCUCCUACCUUUGUGAUCCCCAAAUUAAUAUCAAAUGUCUAAUUAGUUUUUUUCUCCAUUGGUGAUCCCCAAAUUAAUAUCAAAUGUCAGACAAAGUAAAUCAAAGUACAAAUAAAGGUAAAACUGCUCUUGCAAAGGGCUAAAAUAGCAAUGUUUACUAGAAGCAUUCAAGAGCCAGUUCAAUUUCCUAUUUCUCAUUAAGUGGUAAAAUAGUAAUGCCAAGACCACAUCCCAGAAUCUCCAGGGUAACAGAGGCCCAACGAAGGGCUGCAGAGAAACUUGAAAGUAAACUGGCUUAGUUCUUUACACACAGAAAUUGUUCUACAAAGAUCUCUUGCAAAGCAGUGUCACCAGUAGCAUCACUGCCACUAAGCCAAUGUCCCAGGAAUUGAGGAAAGGAAGACACCCUUAAAGAAAAAAAUGGAAAAAAGCCACAAGGACUGGUACCACAGUAAAUGUCUGCCUGGGUCUCCCUAAACUGUCUUAGGUGAGCUUACCCAGGAAUGUUUCUCCCCUACAUGUUUGCCUUCCUUUGUUUAAGCCUUUAUUCCUCCUAAAUGAAAAUAAAUACCCCCGACUGGGGAACGUGG
rnacentral:lncRNA from 10 species